UUUGUUUUUCUUUCCAAUGUCCUAUAUCUUCUCUGAUUCCGCUUGAAAUCUAUCAAAUUCGUGAGGUGAAUCAAGAAAGCCUUUCUUUCUUUCAAAGAAGUAAUAAUCUUCUUUCUGUUAUCUGUGAUUUUAGAGUGGAUAGGAGAAGCAAAGAGAGGGGGGUUUCUUACGUGCACUUACAGGAGUGUCUAUUGGAUAUGUCAUAGGUUACUUUGUCCUUAAAGAAGCGGUAGAUGAAACUAAGGCGAUAAUUCAGGAGAGACGGGAAAAGAGGAACUCUGUUGGAAAAUCUCCAGAUAUUGGUACGGAUAAUCUCUCUAGUGAAAAAAACACAUCAGAGACGGCCUUGCUCAAGUCAGUUGGACAGAACAAUGAAACACACUCUCUAAUUAUCUGACAAGCUUUGUAUCAUGUCACUGUUGACUACGUGUACUCAAACAUAACUUAAGGAAUUGGCUUUGCUUUUUGGUUCAAAUUUAUGAUGUCUGAUUGUAAGAGAACCUGCUUAUGUUAAUGAACGAAAUGAUCUGAUGCUUGGCUUCUCGUUAACAUUGUAUAUGAUAUGAUUGAUGGUGGGCUUAUGGUUACAUUGUAUCAUGACUGUAUUGUGUAUGUUCAUGUAUUGCUGAAACUUAUACUCUUUUUUUCAUCGUUUCCUACGACCUUCCUUUAGAUAUCUGGUCAGUUGGUUACUGUUUGUAUGAGCUCUAUAGUGGGAAAGUGUGAUAUGUUCUGGCUCCACAAACAAUGAUAUGUUCUGCCUUCAUAUGGAACUGAAAGGUCCCUUCUCCAAGAAGAUGCUUUGCAAGGGAGUAGUUAUCGAUCAGGACUUGAGCAUCAUAUGGAAAAUUACAAAAGUAUGGCAUCUCUUUGGAUAUAAUCUUUGAUCAAGAUACCAAUCUACAUUUUUCUCUUAUCAUUGUAACAUGGCUGUGCCUCUCCUUGUAAGCAAGGAGCAAUAAACACUCGACCUUGUG